CCUACGGGUGGCAGCAGUGAGGAAUAUUGGUCAAUGGGAGAGAUCCUGAACCAGCCAAGCCGCGUGAGGGAAGACGGCCCUAUGGGUUGUAAACCUCUUUUGUCGGAGGACAAAACCCGGGACGUGUCCCGGACUGCGUGUAUCCGAAGAAAAAGCAUCGGCUAACUCCGUGCCAGCAGCCGCGCUAAUACGGGGGAUGCGAGCUUUAUCCUGAUUUAUUGGGUUUAAGGGGUGCGUGGGCGGUCGGUUCAGUCAGCGGUAAAAUUGCGGGGCUAAACCCGGCCGCGCCGUUGAAACUGGCAGGCUUGAGUUGGGUAGAAGUACGCGGAAUGCGCGGUGUAGCGGGGAAAUGCAUAGAGAUCGCGCAGAACUCCGAUUGCGAAGGCAGCGUACCGGCGCAAGACUGACGCUGAGGUACGAAAGCGUGGGGAUCGAACAGGAUUAGAUACCCCUGUAGUC
rnacentral:rRNA from 1 species